AUAGCUGUUCAUGGUAAAAUCUAUCAGGAGACUAGAGUGUAGUAUCUGUUCUUAUCAGUUUAAUAUCUGAUAUGUUCUCUCUCUGAGGACAAUGUAUUAAGUGGAUUUUUUGGAGCUGGGAGAUGGAAUAGGAGCUUGCUCCAUCCACUCCACCCAUCAACCUGCCAAACUUUU
ensembl:snRNA U2 U2 spliceosomal RNA